rnacentral:rRNA from 1 species
AACGAACGCUGGCGGCGCGCUUAAUACAUGCAAGUCGAACGAGAAGGUGUAGCAAUACACUUGUAAAGUGGCGAACGGGUGAGGAAUACAUGGGUAACCUACCCUCGAGUGGGGAACAACCAGCCGAAAGGUUGGCUAAUACCGCGUACGCUUCCGGGUCUUCGGAUUCGGAAGGAAAGUCAUACCGUGGGUAUGACGCUCAAGGAUGGGCUCAUGUCCUAUCAGCUUGUUGGUAGGGUAACGGCCUACCAAGGCUCCGACGGGUAGCUGGUCUGAGAGGACGAUCAGCCACACUGGCACUGCGACACGGGCCAGACUCCUACGGGAGGCAGCAGUAAGGAAUAUUGCGCAAUGGGCGAAAGCCCGACGCAGCGACGCCGCGUGGGGAUGAAGGUCUUCGGAUUGUAAACCCC